GCGCCUAUAGUUCAAUUGGAUAGAACGUCGGAUUCCGGUUCCGAAGGUUGAAGGUUCGAAUCCCUCUAGGCGUA
rnacentral:tRNA from 1 species